AGCAGAAAAAGAGCUAAUAAAUUGUUUACCUUUGUCUAUAAUAUCAAUUACUUAUGUGUGCUUUUAGAUUGAAUUUGGAUUUGUCAACUUUACUUUUUGAUGUAAAAUGUCCUUCAUUGAUCAUAGAAGGGCUAUAUGAAGUCGCAGGAGAACUCGUUAAUUUGCCAUUAAAAGGAAUGGUACUUACAAAGUCACUACAGGUUUAUAUUUUAUAAAUUUCAAUACGACGAUCGAGAAGGUUUUAGAAAGUGACGGGGAGCAUCACUUGGCUAUUAAAAAACAUGUUGUUUCUGGACAGCCAAAGGAGCCUAUAGAUUUUGCUUUCUAUCGCUUUACACCGGAUGCAAUUGCAUCUCGCCAAGCGCUGAUUCACUUUGAUCAAGAUAGAUACAAGGAAUUACAUGUAUUGACCAGGGACGCAUAUCGUGCAGCAGUUUUUGGACCGUUAUUU